rnacentral:rRNA from 1 species
CAAGUCGAGCGGUAACAGGUGUAGCAAUACAUGCUGACGAGCGGCGGACGGGUGAGUAACGCUUGGGAAUCUGCCUGUUAGUGGGGGACAACCCGGGGAAACUCGGGCUAAUACCGCAUACGCACUACGGUGGAAAGCCGGGGACCGCAAGGCCUGGCGCUAACAGAUGAGCCCAAGUCGGAUUAGCUAGUUGGUAGGGUAAUGGCCUACCAAGGCGACGAUCCGUAACUGGUCUGAGAGGACGACCAGUCACACCGGAACUGAGACACGGUCCGGACUCCUACGGGAGGCAGCAGUGGGGAAUAUUGGACAAUGGGGGAAACCCUGAUCCAGCGACGCCGCGUGGGUGAAGAAGGCCUGCGGGUUGUAAAGCCCUUUCGGUUGGGAAGAAAAGUUGCGACCUAACACGUCGCGACCUUGACGUAACCAACUAAAGAAGCACCGGCUAACUCUGUGCCAGCAGCCGCGGUAAUACAGAGGGUGCGAGCGUUAAUCGGAAUUACUGGGCGUAAAGCGCGCGUAGGCGGCUUUGCAAGCCGGAUGUGAAAUCCCCGGGCUUAACCUGGGAACUGCAUUCGGGACUGCAUUGCUAGAGUAUGGGAGAGGGAAGUGGAAUUUCAGGUGUAGCGGUGAAAUGCGUAGAUAUCUGAAGGAACAUCAGUGGCGAAAGCGACUUCCUGGACCAAUACUGACGCUCAUGUGCGAAAGCGUGGGGAGCAAACAGGAUUCGAUACCCUGGUAGUCCACGCCAUAAACGAUGAGAACUGGAUGUCGGGAGGGUCUGCCUCUCGGUGUCGUA